GAACCAGGCUUCAUGACUAUGCACUACCCAGUUGUCACUCUGCCAAAUAGCAUGGGGAUACAAAGAAGUUGGUACUCACCUUGAAAGGACAACAUGAAGCCUUAUUGAAGCCAAAAUCUCAGUGUUCUGGAGCCAUUUACCUCUACCACCAUAUCUGGUAAUUAAACACGAGGAGGGUACCAACAUUUAAAGCAUGGCCUUUGUGGCUGUGUCAGGAAACAGUUUUCCUGAAGAACUCCUCAAUGAGACAAGAAUUACAGAGUGUAAUUAGAAAUCGUUUGCCAUUAAAUAUAGUUUCAAUUGGAAUGUCAUUUAAAGGUUUGAGAAAAAAUUCUAGCUCUUGUGUGUCGUUUUGAAUUUUCUCCCUGUUGAUUACUUUCUGCUUAGAAAAUAUAUUAAGUAUAAUUAGAGUGAAAGAGAAAGAAAAAUCACUGAUUAUUUCUGUAUCUGUGAGCAACCUAUAGGGAGAUUAAAAGAACGUCAUUGUAGUAUACCUAAGUCCGCAGUCUAAAUGAACAUUUUUAAACUUGUUCUGCCGUGGUGCUAAAAGUAAGAAUAGGCCAACACUGAAAAAAAAAUUAAGUAUACAUUCUCCAAAUUUGUCAUGAUUUCCAUCCAUUAGGUUCUUGCAGAUUGUUGGGGUCUCUUUUCACUCCUGUAGCAGUUACAGAUCCACAGCCAACCUCUCUUUCUAAGACAUAUAUUAAAGUCUUCACCAUUUGAUGAGGACUUUUCACUGCUAAGAUUAACCUGAUGGACAAAUUACAGUAUCUCUCCUGCCAAAAUGAUGUUUUCCUAAUACAAAUGCAACUUUGUGACCGACUAUGUUUCAUUUUCUCCCUUGCUUCAAAUCCUGCUACCUACCGGGGAGAAUUUUCACUUCUGACAGCAAAAAUAAAUCUCUGCAUGAAGACAGGUAGGAAAAUACAGCUUUCAUGUCAGAGGGCUCAGAUUUUCUAUUUCACAUUCAAGAAAUGAUACCUCUUUGAGGUGUUUGGUUGUAUUCUGAAAGCAGAGUACUACACACAAACAUUGAUUCUUUUUCACUAUUUCAAAAAAAAAUUGUCUUCAUUGAGCUAAAACCAAUUUCAGUCUCAGUUGUCUUAUGUACACAGAGACUUCACGUGAACAGUGAUGCCACCUUAUCGAGUGGACUCUGCUACCCAUUCUAGAGCCUAUCUCUGCUUCCUUUUACUUGCUGCCUCUGUUUCCUGCCUACCUGCCCCCUUUCAUCUCUUGCAUUUGGUUUCACUCUACUUAAAGUGCUCUUUGAUAUUGACAACAACCAUUCUCUUGGCAAAAAAUAUUGAUGUUUUCAUGUCUUCACAACCUUGAAUUCUGUUGCACUCAGAGCUGUCUCGGUCUCUUCCUCUUUCUCUGACUGCUCUGUUUCUCUCUUCUUAGAUACACUGACUCAACAUUCAGCCCUUCUUGUUUCUGAAGGUUCUGUCCUCUGCCCUUCAUACUUUUCUUUUCUUUUUUAUCUUUCUUUUUUUUUUUUUUUUUUGAGACAGUUUCGUUCUUGUUGCCCAAGCUGGAAUGCAAUGGUGUGAUCUCGGCUCACUGCAACCUCCGCCUCCCAGGUUCAAAUGAUUCUCCUGCCUCAGCCUCCUGAGUAGCUGGGAUUACAGGCACAUGCCACCACGCCAGGCUAAUUUUUUGUAUUUUUAUUAGAAACGGGGUUUCACCAUGUUAGCCAGGCUGGUCUCAAACUCCUGACCUCAGGUGAUCCGCCAGCCUUGGCCUCCCAAAAUGCUGGGAUUAUUAGCAUGAGCCAUCGUGCCCAGUCCAUACUUGUCACUCAUACUGUUUCAGUCAUUGAGUUUAUAAACUCCAUUGCUUCAACUCUCUCCUCUGAGAAGGUAAUCCCCAAGCCUCCAUCUCCAAUUCUUAUUUUCCAUGUGCUCCUCCUGUUUACAAAUGGCCACAGGCAUUUCCAUUUGAAUGACUCGCCAUAAUGUCAAAUUCUGUAUUUAACCUAUUGGAAAUUGACAUCCUCAUCUUUUCUCCAGAUUAGCUCUCCUUUCUCAGUAAUCCAGCUCUAUCCUUGAUUUCACCGUUAGUUCAGUUUGCCAAAUCACAAAACUUAGUAUCAUUUCUUCUCAUUAGUCACAGAAUAUAAACUUCAACAGAAUGCAGACUUUGUUUUGUUUGCUGAUGAAGGUCCAGGUCCUAGAAGAGAGCCUAGCUCAAAGUAGGUUCUUAAUAAAUACUUACUGAAGGAACAAAUUGUGAGUAUUCAAUGAUAGAAUACACAUAAAGUGAUUGCUAUUAUAUUAGCUGAAGUUCUCAAUAAAUGUUACCUAUCACAUAUUAUUAUUUCUAUGAUUCCUAUUUUCAGUAGUAAUUGCAGCAUUAAAAAGAUGACCCUAAGCACCUCAUUUUCUUGCAUUUAUUUAUAAUUUUUUGAUAUUUUAUUUUUCUCCUUAAUUUUAGAGUGCAGAAACUUUGGUUUGUUGUAGUCCUUUGGCCACAAGGCCUCCAGCAUUUACAACCAUGCAAAGGAAGAUCGCUAAAGAACAGUCUUCCCUGGUUUUGCAGAGGGGGAGGCAAAGUAUAAGAGAGACAGAAAUCUGGGAGUGAAAGGAUCACUCAUCUUGUUUAUAUGUUGGUUUUGUAGGCACUAAGUUUGAGGCACAAAGUUUUCGUAGUCCUUUGAACAAUAAUAAAUGACAAAUGAUCUGAAGAGAAUAUUAAAACAUUUUCAAUUUGAAUCUUCAAAAAAGUAGAUGGAAGGUGUUCUCGUUGAAUUUGGACCACAGGUGACACACAAAAAAAUUCAAAAUGUUAAAUUAUUUUAUCUCUUUGUAAGAUUAUUAUAAUUUGAUAAGCAUUCUUAUUUAACAUUAUCAGAAGAACAAAAACAUAACAGCAAACAAAUAUAAUUUAAUUAUUUUGCUCCUGGUGUGUUUUGCCAUGUUAAAAUGAGCUUUGGGGGUUUUGAUUUGAGAACCUGCCUCUAUUUAUGUUUUCUUUCACUAUUCUGUUACUUUAUGUUGUUUCAUUAACACAAUUUAUAUUCUUGCUUGUUUUCCG
rnacentral:lncRNA from 1 species